ACUCUAUUAUUAUAAAGUUAAAAGUAUAUUUAAUUGCAAAUUAAAAGGUUGUUAGAGUUA
rnacentral:tRNA from 1 species